ACUCUCUCCAAAAGGCUUCUUGUUAAUUUAUUUUUCGAGACCAUAAGUACUUUUUGGUUUUAUUUUUUUAAUCUUGUGAAGGACCCCAGGAUUCAUGUAAUGUGUUCUGUUACGAACGCCGUUGGGUAUUAAUGUGGAAAAUGAAUUCGUCGUGUAUUAAUUUCCAUCCGAUUUAUUAGUUUUAGAUUUUUCGUCUGGUCUAAACUAUCAUCUAGGGCGAUUGAUCCCAAAACGAAAGUUCAUCUGCCUGGUUUUUAAUUGCGAAUUUGAAUUGUUUUAAACUUGUUGUAUUAAUUGGAACUUUAUAAAUAACUUCUUAAUAUGUUACUUUUUAAAAAAAUAUUUUAAAUUGUACUUUUUUGUAUUGUACUUUAUUUCUAAGGUAAUUUCGUCUGUUGGUGUUAAAUUUAUUGUUUGUAUUUCCCUUCGUAAAAAAAGUUGCAUUUUUCACAAAAUUGAGUCUUUUUUUUUUGUUGGUAAUUGAAUUCUCUAUGCUCUGGUAGUUUUUAGUAUCAAGUUUUUAUUGUUGUAGGUGUGAUAAUUAUAUAAUUUCACUGCAUACUAGGAGUGAGGUGUGAUUAUAUUUUCACAGCGUACUUGGAGUCAUCUCUUACUGAUUCUUCGUUGUUUAAAAAAUUAUGCUUUUCGAUUUUGGCAAAAAAUAUCAUUGUCCCUAGAUCAUCUCAUUCUCUCUAGACUAAUAUGGACCCCCGUUUUGAAUUUAGCAUGUUACUUUCUUGUUUUGAUUUUACAUACCUUAUAUGUUUUUGAUGUGUGGUUGGGGAGAAUUUGAUAGUGUCUCUGGGAACAUUUUAGGUUCUAAAUAUAAUCGUGUUUAACUUCGAAAUUCAUCUGAAUAAAUGGGAGAGCUCAGAGUUUACACGAUAAUUAAAUUUUAAUGUUAUUUUGAAUUAAAUUUUUAUUCUCAGAGUCUACACUCCCAAUGGGGGUGCUCGCUAUAGUAGAUCUGUAAGCUCAAAGAGAUUUGGAGUCCGACCUCCUUCGACCCGUGGCGCACCGUAAGUGAUUCAUGGCUUGCUAUGUACUAUGUUGUUUGAUUUUUGCAUUUUAGCACCCAUUUUCCAUCAUUCUACCAAAGACCCAUUAAAUAAUUGGAGAUGGCAUUUGAGUUUGCAGACUCGAGUAAAUACUCCAACAACAAAGGUAAAGAACUUGGAACAACAAGAAAACUCACGAUCUAAGAUCGAGUGUGGUAAAUCACCACACCACCAAGGGAAAAACGUCCAGCUCGAGAGAAGGUAAGAAUGCAGGCUGUAAGAAGACAAACCCACUAGGAAACUCACCCCAAUGCUCAAAAGGUCUGACACAGCGAAGGAUCAGCCCAAGUCCUGUCCUGUCCCUUGAAGGGGAGGAUAUAGUCUAUAGGCCUUGACCCUACAUAAAUUGGGUAUAAGACAAGAAGCCCAAAAAUGAGACGGCUCACCACCAAAAAGAAACCCUCGAAUAAAGACACGAUGAUAAGUGUAUUAAAUUUGUUGGAAUUACAUGCCGAAACAAAAUAGAAAUAUUAUUUAUUUAUAGAAAAAUAUUAUCAAUUUGAUAGUAUUUUUUAACACAAAA